rnacentral:rRNA from 1 species
UAGGGAAUAUUGCACAAUGGGCGGGAGCCUGAACCAGCCAAGCCGCGUGAGGGAAGAAGGCCCUAUGGGUCGUAAACCUCUUUUGUCAGGGAACAAAAGCGAGUAUGUAUACUAGUCUGAGUGUACCUGAAGAAAAAGCAUCGGCUAACUCCGUGCCAGCAGCCGCGGUAAUACGGAGGAUGCGAGCGUUAUCCGGAUUUAUUGGGUUUAAAGGGUGCGUAGGCGGCGAUGCAAGUCAGCGGUAAAAGCCCGGGGCUCAACCCCGGCGAGCCGUUGAAACUGCAGUGCUAGAGAAGGCGAGAGGUACGCGGAAUGCGCAGUGUAGCGGUGAAAUGCUUAGAUAUUGCGCAGAACUCCGAUUGCGAAGGCAGCGUACUGGCGCCUGACUGACGCUGAGGCACGAAAGCGUGGGGGAUCGAACAGGAUUAGAUACC